rnacentral:rRNA from 1 species
AGAAGAAACUUACGAGGAUUCCCCUAGUAGCGGUGAGCGAACCGGGAAGAGCCCACCUUGAGAAUAGGGCGGCCCCCGACGCGCCGCCCGAAUUGUAGUCUGCAGAAGCGUCCUCAGCGACGGACCGGGCCCAAGUCCACUGGAAGGUGGCGCUGGAGAGGGUGAGAGCCCCGUUGUGCCCGGACCCUGCCGCACCACGAGGCGCUGUCGGCGAGUCGGGUUGUUUGGGAAUGCAGCCCCAAUCGGGCGGUAGAUUCCGUCCAAGGCUAAAUAUCGGCGGGAGACCGAUAGCGAACAAGUACCGCGAGGGAAAGAUGAAAAGGACUUUGAAAAGAGAGUCAAAGAGUGCUUGAAAUUUUCGGGAGGGAAGCGGAUGGGGGCCGACGAUGCGCCUUGGUCGGACGCGGAACGGUGUCGAGCCGGUCUGCCAAUCGCUACUCAGGGUGUGGGCCGCUGCGGGUUGAGGGGGCGGCCUAAGCCCUCGCGGUUGACCCCGCGUGUGGCACGCCGUCCCUUGGUCCGAGGAUCAGCUGCUGUGCGCCGGCUCGGCGUGCCACACGGCAUGCGAGMGCUCUGGGCAGCGGCCUGCGGG